UCUAAAAUUAAAAUAGUAAUAAUAAUACUUUUUAUAAGAAAUUAUUUGUAAAAAGAAAAUGGCAAUUAUUAGUGUGAGAAAUAUCUAGUUUUUGGUAGUAGAGUGCGUGCAGGCUGCAGUGACACAAAAUCACGAAGUGGUCGCAAGAUAUUUUAAUGGUCGCAAUGGAUUGAAAAUAUAAAGAUGUAAACUUGGCAGCAAUAUAAAUCAGUUAUAAUUGCUUAUUCUUUAAAGGCACCAUAGAUUAUACAAAUACAUGUUCAAUUAUUGAGAAGUGUAAACGAACAUAUACGCUUAUUCUCACAUGGUUGGCAUUUUUACAAAUUAUUGAGAACAUAUAUACAGUGCUGGCACGGCUUGCCUUCUUUAAGACAACGGGAUCAUGCAGUAGCGGCAUGAUUGAUCGAAUAAAUUUACUAGGUUUCAUAUUCUUCACGCUGUUAAAAGCCAAAAGUAUCAGAAAGCCAAUUGACCAGAACGUGUCUGAGCACUAAGAUUAAAUAGGUCCAGCAAAACAUAGAAGAAAGAGGAGAAAUCAUGCUCGAAAUGCAGCAAAGCAAAGAUUAAAAAAGAAUGAUUGUGCCACCGGCCACCACCUCAUAUACACGAUGAUCCAUUGUAUCCAAAAACUAAAUUUAAAAAAAAAACAUACGCACUAUUGCUUCAGCAGAAUGCAAUACUUCCGUAGGCCAAAUAUAAAUAUCAAGACGUUAAGAAACAACAGCCGCACAGCAGUGAUCGUGUUUAUAUUUAUUUCUUUCGUAGAUUUUUAUGUAUUUAUGUAUUUUGUAUGUUAAUUAUGUAUAAACGGGACUUUUAUUUGUUUAUUAUUUUUAUUGUAAAUAUUAUAAUUUUAAAGUAAGUUUAUAAUGGUGUACCCUAUAGGGGACCCAGCCAUUUAAAACAAUUGGCGUCGUGCCAAUCACGGUACCUCAAGGGCGGAAAACCGUGCCACGAAGCCGAUACGUAGUUAAUUUUGGUUUUUCGCCACCACCUGCUAAAUCCUGUAUGUGAAGUCCUUUCACUCAAAAACGAUUCUAAGUGUCGUCAUGAAAGCAAAGAAAAAAAGAAAAGGACGAACUUGAAUGAGCUCCGUUAAGCAUAAUAUUAAAGACAGUUUUUAAGAAUAGAAUUCAUACUCUCACGUAAUUCAAAAUUUGAUACUCUCACAUAAUUCCAAAUUUCAUACUCUCACAAGGUAGUUAA